rnacentral:sRNA from 1 species
AAAGAAGUUCGUCCCCUUUGUGAGGCCCGGGAUGGGAGGCUCCAGCGCCGUAGGACUGAGGCAGACUCCACGGUGAGAAAGAGACCCGAUCUAACCCAGGCCUUUCAUCAGAGCCCAGGAGGGAAGGCAGGAAGUGGGACCACGAGGCCCGGGGGGCUUCUAACUCGUCUGGCCAGGGAGAUCUGAAUUGGGGUGAAGAGCAGAAUCUCCAGAACAAGGAGGAGGUGGUGAUCAUGGAGACAGAUUUGGCUGAAAUGCCUGAGAAAGGAGGUGAGAAUUGCGGACGUGUUGAACUUGUAGCGUGGAAGGACGAAAUUCCUGCUCCUGAAGGGAAAACGGUUGGCUCAGGGGAGGUGGCUCUUGGCUGGCUGUCUCCAUUGUCUUGGGGAUGGAUGGGCUUUUUAAGUGAGACUGAAGGGCUUGGUAUGGGAGCACCGCCCUUUCCAUGGCAGCUGGGCACACAGUGGACCCUUCAAAGCUACCCCCAAAAUGUGAGUGAAAUGUUAACUUCUAUGGCAAGAAUUCACCUCUUUGGUUGUCAAAAAUGUUUUGUUUUACAUAGGA